rnacentral:rRNA from 1 species
UUCUUUGAGAAUUUGAUCCUAGUUCAGGACGAACGCUAGCGGCGUGCCUAAGGUAUGCAAGUCGAACGGUUCUUGUGUGUAGCACCUAGCAGUACAGACUUCUGACAAAAUGUUUUUUGACGAGCGUCCCCGCAGCGUAGCGAGGACCAGCGAGGAGAAAACAUUUUGUCACUAAACACUGUACUUCUUAGUGCUACACGCGAGGAUAGUGGCGAACGGCUGAGUAACACAUAGGAAUCUACCCCUAAGUAGAGGAUAGCCCUGCGAAAGCAGGAGUAAUACUUUAUGUGAUCGCAAGAUCAAAGUCCGCCUUUGUGGCAGACGCUUGGGGAUGAGCCUGUGGCCUAUCAGGUAGUUGGCGGGGUAAAUGCCCACCAAGCCUAUGACGGGUAGCCGGUCUGAGAGGACGAACGGCCAGAAGGGCACUGAGACACGGGCCUUACUCCUACGGGAGGCAGCAAUUGGGAAUUUUGCACAAUGGACGAAAGUCUGAUGCAGCGACGCCGCGUGAAGGAUGACGGCCUUAGGGUUGUAAACUUCGAUAAAGCACCGGCAAACUACGUGCCAGCAGCAGCGGUCAUACGUAGGGUGCAAGCGUUGUCCGGAUUUACUGGGCGUAAAGAGUUCUGUAGGCGGCUUUGUAAGUUGAGGGUUAAAUCUCCCCGCUCAACGGGGAAACUGCUUUCAAUACUGCAUAGCUAGAGAGAUCUAGGGGACAGCGGAACUUAUGGUGGAGCAGUGGAAUGCGUUGAUAUCAUAGGGAACACCGAGGGGGUAGCCAGCUGUCUGGGGAUUUUCUGACGCUGAGAGACGAAAGCUAGGGCAGGGAAACGGAUUAGAUAAAUCCGUGUACCAGGUCGUUUCGACGACUUGAGGUACUAAAAGGGUGUCCCCCUCAACAGUGAUGUUGAGGUGCGCAUCCAGCUAUAUCGGUGAAUGCCUUU